GGGCGCGUAGCUCAGCGGGAGAGCAUUCCGUUCACACCGGAAAGGUCACUGGUUCAAUCCCAGUCGCGCCCA
rnacentral:tRNA from 1 species